rnacentral:rRNA from 1 species
GUGAGGAAUAUUGCGCAAUGGAGGCAACUCUGACGCAGCCAUGCCGCGUGCAGGAAGAAGGCGCUACGCGUUGUAAACUGCUUUUAACCGGGAAGAAACCCCAGGACGUGUCCUGGGUUGACGGUACCGGAGGAAUAAGCACCGGCUAACUUCGUGCCAGCAGCCGCGGUAAUACGAAUGGUGCAAGCGUUAUCCGGAUUCAUUGGGUUUAAAGGGUGCGUAGGCGGAGCGUUAAGUCAGUGGUGAAAUCCUGCAGCUUAACUGUAGACUUGCCAUUGAUACUGGCGCUCUUGAGUGCGCUUGAAGUGGGCGGAAUGUGCCGUGUAGCGGUGAAAUGCUUAGAUAUGGCACAGAACACCAAUUGCGAAGGCAGCUCACUAAGGCGAUACUGACGCUGAGGCACGAAAGCGUGGGGAUCGAACAGGAUUAGAUACCCUGGUAGUCC